rnacentral:lncRNA from 1 species
AACAAAAAAACAAACAAACAAAAACAACCAAACAUAUUUUCUCAAUGAUCAUGAUAAGAGAUACAUAUUUUAUAUUUACAUUGCGUGGAGGUGUUAUUCAUACAAUAUUAUUAAUUCAAGCUGUUACAAUCAGCUUUAAUACUAUAAAAGCUCUUAACAACAUUAUGUUUGCUUUAAAUGAAUGUUCAAAUCAUACAUAUCACUUAUUCCAGCUACACUUGCAGUACUAAUGUCCGUAUCAUUACUUUUCAAAAUGAUAUUUAACUUAUCUUGUUCACUCAUAUUAACAAAAGAUGGAACUAUAUCACUUAAAUUACAAAAGAGUACAUUUCUAUUACGUUCUAAUGCUUUACAUUGAAUGAGGAAAUGGAACUCAUCUUCAAUUCCAUCCUUACAAAUUGGACAAAUUCUCUGUUCUGAAGGUGUUCUAGUAUAUCUACCAACUUCUAUUAGUAAU